ensembl:snRNA U6 U6 spliceosomal RNA
GUGCUCACUUUGGCAACAUACAUACUAAAAUUGGAAGGAUACAGACAUAAACAUGGCCCCUGCACAAGGAUGACAUGCAAAUUCAUGAAGCAUUCCAUAUUUUU